UACGUAGGGGGCAAGCGUUGUCCGGAAUUAUUGGGCGUAAAGAGCUCGUAGGCGGUCUGUCGCGUCGGAUGUGAAAGCCCGGGGCUUAACCUCGGGUCUGCAUUCGAUACGGGCAGACUAGAGUGUGGUAGGGGAGAUCGGAAUUCCUGGUGUAGCGGUGAAAUGCGCAGAUAUCAGGAGGAACACCGGUGGCGAAGGCGGAUCUCUGGGCCAUUACUGACGCUGAGGAGCGAAAGCGUGGGGAGCGAACAGG
rnacentral:rRNA from 1 species